AUUGAACGCUGGCGGCAUGCCUUACACAUGCAAGUCGAACGGCAGCACGGGAGCAAUCCUGGUGGCGAGUGGCGAACGGGUGAGUAAUAUAUCGGAACGUGCCCAGUAGUGGGGGAUAACUGCUCGAAAGAGCAGCUAAUACCGCAUACGACCUGAGGGUGAAGGGGGGGGAUCGCAAGACCUCUCGCUAUUGGAGCGGCCGAUAUCAGAUUAGCUAGUUGGUGGGGUAAAGGCCUACCAAGGCAACGAUCUGUAGUUGGUCUGAGAGGACGACCAGCCACACUGGGACCGAGACACGGCCCAGACUCCUACGGGAGGCAGCAGUGGGGAAUUUUGGACAAUGGGCGCAAGCCUGAUCCAGCAAUGCCGCGUGCAGGAAGAAGGCCUUCGGGUUGUAAACUGCUUUUGUCAGGGAAGAAAUCCUCUAGGUUAAUACCCUUGGGGGGAUGACGGUACCUGAAGAAUAAGCACCGGCUAACUACGUGCCAGCCGCCGCAGUAAAAC
rnacentral:rRNA from 1 species